AGCAGUAGGAUCUCGGUUUCCAGCCCAGUGCAAUUUCUGCUCUAUCCCACUGACCUCAUUGUUGAGGUAUGUCCUUAUAGCAGUGUGAGAACCGACUAGUACAGUUCCUUAGGAAGCCCCCGCUGGGUAUGGAUGGGGAGUGAAGCAAGGUGGGCCCAGAAGCUGCCACUGGCUGAGAGACAAUGAAGAAAGUGUGUAGAAUCUCCACCAUCACCAAAGGAAGAGAGCUUGGCAGGAAAGUUACUUCCAUGAAUGGAUGAGUUGAAGUGAACAGGGUCUUGGGCAAAACUGAAGGGUAGUUAGUCAGGUUUGUCUCUGGUGGGCUUUCAGCUCCACUCCCUGCAUCCCAUUCCCACCUCCUGAUGGUCCCCUCAUAGGCCCAGUGCUAGCACCUGUCCUUGGAGCAUAGGUGGGGACCCUCCAGCCAGGGUCCUUCCUUCACAGGGAGUCAGAGCCCUCUGCUCCGCAAUUGCCCUGCCCCAGGUCAGCCAUCUAUCAAAAGCCCCACUAUCCCCUAAAGACCCACCCUCAAGCAGCAGAUGUGCAUCAAGGGAGCCACAAAUGUCAUUCCUGUGACCCCGAAGCAGUCUAGUGUGUUACCUCUCUCAGGGCUGCUAUGGGCUGAAUUGCAUUUCCCCAAAAUUUCUAUGCUGCUUCCCUAACCCCCAGCGCCUCAGAAUCUAACUCUGGAUAGGACCUGUGAAUAAGUGAUUAAGUUAAAAUGGGGUCCUGUGGAUGGGCCCUAACCCAAUCUGACUGGUGUCCUUUUAAGAAGAGGAAGAGAGACCAGACAUGUGCACACUCAGAGACAAGGCACGUGAGGACACAGAGACAAGGCAGCCACCUACAAGCCAGGGAGAGGGGCCUCGGGGAAGCCAACCCUGCCUACGCCUUGAUCUUGGACUUCCAGCCUCCAGAACUUUGUGUCUGAGUGAAAUGGGUAUAAAUCAGGACCUACGAUACAGUUCAAUUAUUCCUAUGAUGAAAAGAGCUUUCUCCACAUGCGGGACUCUCGGCCUCAUUAUGAGUGGUGUCUUUGACAACCCAGGGCCCAUUAAAAACACCUUGAAGAAAGCAUUCACCAUGCUGUGGAGCUUCACAAUCUAUACCAGGCUGGAAUCCUUGAGGGUGGCAUUAUCAAAUGAGGAAACAAUUCCUUUCAUUUUUCAUCCUAAGACUCAGACAGCAAACAUGUUAUCUGGCCCUAUAAGCACCCCGAUGCUUCUGUGAAACCCAAGCAAGUUCUGCAUCACCACGACAGCCGCGGAUGCCAAAUCAUCAAAACAGCAGCAGAGGAAGGGGUUUAUUGCUCCUCCAAAUCUUCAGCUGGUUUUAUAGGGUUACCAGUUUAAAGUUUCUUUGUUUUCAGAGCAUCGGACCUCCCAUUUGUAGCUGAUAGCCAUUUUUCAAAGGUUUCUGGCUCAUCCAGGAAUUCAUUAGGGUGGACGAGAAAAGAACAGUGGAUAGAAUAGACCAGCAGGGCAAUCUAAGCCCCAUUCCCUGUCUCUUUACAUUGGUUCUUGGUCCCCGUGACUCAUCCAAACUCCUUUGUAUUCCUAUCUGGAAUGCAAAAGCUGGAAAUAUAAGUGCUCUGUAAUCACAGGCAGUGGUUUUCUUGGAGUCUGGUGUGAUUUCUGUAGCUUGCAGCAAUAUGUGGGACACACUUGCACUAAAGAAUUUAAUGACUUGUUUUACUGCUGCCUGCCAUCAAUAUUUAUCUAUAUUAACUGAAGAAAGGCAUUACUCGAAAUGGCAUUUCACACCUCUGAGCAUUAUACAGUAAUUCUAAAGUCAUACGUUGUACCAAAUUUUCUGGGCAAACACAGAGAUACAGUAUGAAUGGAAAUAAUCCAAGUUGAAGUUUUUUAAAACUUGAAUUGUCUGCAGUAAUUCGGAAAACCAAAGUCAAAAUGACUCGAAUUGCUAUGGCUGGGAAUGACUGGAUUAAAAGCAAUGGAAAC
rnacentral:lncRNA from 1 species